GAACCGUCCAAACGUUUAUUCGGAAUCACUGGGCUUAAAGGGUACGUAGGCGGCUUGGAAAGUUGGGUGUGAAAUCCCUCGGCUCAACCGAGGAACUGCACUCAAAACUGCUAGGCUUGAGGGAGAUAGAGGUAAGCGGAACUCAGGGUGGAGCGGUGGAAUGCGUUGAUAUCCUGGGGAACACCAGUUGCGAAGGCGGCUUACUGGGUCUCUUCUGACGCUGAGGUACGAAAGCUAGGGGAGCGAACGGGAUUAGAUACCCCGGGUAGUCCUAGCUGUAAACGUUGAGCACUGGAUCGGAGGAUUUCGGUUUUCCGGUCGUAGCGAAAGUGUUAAGUGCUCCGCCUGGGGAGUAUGGUCGCAAGGCUG
rnacentral:rRNA from 1 species